AUACAGAGGGUGCGAGCGUUAAUCGGAAUUACUGGGCGUAAAGCGCGCGUAGGCGGCUUGGUCAGUCGGAUGUGAAAGCCCUGGGCUCAACCUAGGAACUGCAUUCGAUACUGGGCAUCUAGAGUAUGGUAGAGGGAAGUGGAAUUUCCGGAGUAGCGGUGAAAUGCGUAGAUAUCGGAAGGAACACCAGUGGCGAAGGCGACUUCCUGGACCAAUACUGACACUGAGGUGCGAAAGCGUGGGGAGCAAACAGGAUUAGAUACCCCUGUAGUCC
rnacentral:rRNA from 1 species